AAAAAGAACCAUUUCACCCUGAACUCACCAUGAAAAGUGGUGGCAGUAUUAUGCUGUGGAGCUGGUCAGAAUUAGCAGGAAGAUAAAUGGYGAUAACCAGAAAGCAUUCCUGGAUGAAAACCUGUCAGAAGUUGCCACUGACUUAAAACUGAGGAGGAGCUUCUCUUAAAACCACAACCCCAAGCACUGACAACACUAGACUCGUUUAAAUUACAUUUGUGUGUUUGAAUGGCCCAGUCAAAGUCCAGAUAUAAAUCAAACUGAAAAUCUGAAGCAAAAGUUGAGAACUGAUGUUCGCACAUGUUGUGUAUCCAUUCAGAUUGAGCUUGGCUAAAAAAAUGGGCAAAAUUUUCGCUUACUAGAGGCGGGAAGCUGUUAGAGACACAACCCAAAACAUCUUCAACUACAGCAAAAGUUGAGUCUGCAAAGUUUUCAUUCAGARGGGUGGAAUACAGCUGUAAGCCRUAAUUUAAAGAUUUUUAUAUAAAAAAAGGAAAACAAUAGUCCCUUUUCUUUCUCCUUCACAAUUUUGCAAUAUUUGUGUAGAGUUACCACAUAUGAACCAUAAGGUUCACCUAAUAGAAAACCUGUAAAUACAACACGUAAGUUUGUGAUGAAUACAGCACUUAAAGAGAGAAACAGGCAUUUAGCCUCACCUCUCUUCUUGUGUAUAAAAACAUAAAGAAGCCACAUAUGAAAAAAAAAACAACAAGAAGAUGCUGGUGAAUUAUUAUAUCUGUUGCACGGCUUAUAUGCUGCAUUAUAUUUUUCAUCAGUUUAGCCAGAUAUUAUAAUAAUCUCUAACAAAGGUCAAAGGUGUUCAACACAUCUCAUCCUCUUCUGCUGGCAUUUAUCCAAUUAUAUAAGUCAAUAUGAGUGCAGUCUGGACACAAUAGAUUCGGUGUGUCACACUGAAAGUAAAAUGCCAAGAGAGGAGACCCAGGGGAUUUACUGUCAUCUGCUUUUAUACUAAUGGAGUAAUUGUAUUGGCUUUUUGUCUUAGAAACAGGACAAGCUGUAUUUUCCAGAUGUUCAGUAACAAGUGCAUUUCAUUUAGCUUCCUGUUUAUGCAAACAAAUAGCAUAAGCUUGAAUUAUACAGCCACAGACAGAACAACGUAAGAUGAGAGCAGAAAUUAUUUUAAAAAUGAAAUGCCUCAAUAAAUAGAGAGAGAGCUCAAAAGGGCGACACAYUGCUGGUUAAAUGAAGCCCCAUAUGUUUAAUCCUUACAAGCCUCCGUCUUAAUCUUUUUUCAACAAAUCAUUGAAAAUGUAAGUUUAACUUUCAUUCUUAUGUUAGAACAGCAAACAAACAAGAAAUCGUCAAGGCGCCAACGUAAUUUUGAAACUAUACAAUUUAUCUUUGAGAAGUCUGACUCAGAGUUAGAACCUCUUUUUGAAAUAAAAGUGCAAAUGACAAACUAAACUUCAAAACAAAACUUAUAGCUAGAAAGGAGAGACAACUGGAACCUCUUGGGUAUGGAAUGGAAAAAUUCCCAUGACAUUGCUGCUGGUGGCGGAUCUACAACUGCGAUUACUCCUUCUGUCAGUACAAGUAAAACCAGAGGAGCUGUUACAUGAACUACUACUACAGCAGUUAGGUUCGGUCAUAAAAGCUCCAAGUUGCAAUCCUUCAUAAAAAAAAAAACUUAACAGACCUGGUGAACCAGGUAGCUCUGGAAAAUAUAAGACCGAUGCAACUUUUUGCCAUCAGCAUCUCUACACGAAUGACAUUAUAUUCUAGGGUUUUUGUUCAAUUGCAACACUGAUCAUCUGAACCCAGAGCAUUGUGAAAGUCUGCCAAGACUCAUGUUACUCCAUCCAAAAUUAAUUUUUAAACUCUUACUURGCUUAAACAUCAGGGUUGUGUUUUAAAAGUGAAUAUAAGUUUUUAGCAAUAUUUGAGGUCUGAAACCACUUCUUUUGUUUUUUGUGAAUAAAUGCCAGAAACUGGAUUUCUAUUUGGUAGGAGCGAUGUCAGUUUAUUGAAUAAAAUAAAAAAUAUAAAUUAA